rnacentral:tRNA from 1 species
GGGCCUAUGGUAUAGUAGCAACACGCGUCCAUGGCAUGGACGAGUCGCGAGUGCGAUUCUCGCUAGGUCCACCA